GACAUGUUGGAGCAAGCACUUGAAUGAGAAAUGGAAUGUGGCUGAGCAAGAGAAAGGGGGUGCGCUAGUCUCGUCACAAGGUGGGGCCCAGAGGAUGCCAGUGAAACUCCCAGGAUAUUGUGAAGGGAUUAUGCUCCUCCCUGGACCAAAUGCUGGAGUAUUUCCUGGGAUGUGUGUAUGUGAUUGAACAACUUUGGCAAGGUUAUUUGGAAGUUGCCUGGAACUUUGGGAAAGGGUAUUAUGAAGGGAUUAUUCUAAGGUGGAGUCAUGCCCUGAAGUCUAAGAUUUCACAUCUAAUGACCUUAUCACAUGGAGGAACCCUCACCCAAUGCCGUUUUGUCAGCAAAUGUAGCGAAACGGCAGACGUAAGGAGUGACUCCAGUACAGCGACACUUCCUCCAUCACACGUAUAUGGAGGGCUGACUACACUCAAGGCUCUGUCCAAAAAUGAAAAAUGGGAAGGACUGGGACACAGGAAAGUCAGACCAAGCCUGAACAAGGAAAUCAGCAUCCAGAGCAGAGUUUCAGUUCAAACAAACUCUGGGCUUAAUUAGACGUUCAAGCACUCUUGCCGAUUACCCUUCUCAUUGUUUCAAAGACUUAUUUCCCAUGGAGGAAAUCUCCUGUCUAUCAGAGCUGCUUGGCAAUCUUAACAGGAUAUCCAUGUCCCAAUCCCACACCCAAUCUUUGCCGCCACCACAUGAAACUGCCUUUGGAAACCACACCCCGGAGGCCCAAGUAAACUCUCCUUAAGUAGAGAACCUCCUCCAGACCACCCAAGCUGGUCUGGGAUAGGAACUAGCCAGCCUUACCUGUGCAAUUCCCUGGGAUGUGGUUGGGAAAGCCCUUUGCUGUGAUUCACGUCAAUAUUAUCAUGGAUAGCGUUCAUAAGGUCCCUGUGGUAUUGGAUUUUAACUUCCAUUGGUAAAAUCUAGAAGGGUUGUUCAGAAUUGCAACCUGGCAAAAUUUGGAGGCCUGCACUGUGUUUAUAUAGUGGUGCAAGACAAGAGAGUCUUGAUCAUUAAGCAGAGUGAAGAGAUUGCCUUAAGUAGCAGACAUUGGGUGUUGAAGAGCGGCAGAUGCUUUUUUGGAUUAUAAAUCUAAAAUCUCUGCAUGGAUUGAGAAUAGGCAGCAGCCCCCUGACUACGCUUAUCAGAUUUAGCCUUCCUUCCUAUAGUGCUUUUAAAACAGUGCUUCCCAACCAUUUUUUUUUUUAACCAGGGCCUACUCUGACUGGGGAUCACUUUGACCAGGGACCACUCUCCAACAUUAGUACCAAAAGGGAUACAAACCAACUUUUUGGUCAACUUUAGAUUCAGUUUGGUUAUUUGGUGUGCUGAUUCAGAAAACUGCAUUGGAUAGACCACAUCAGCUCUAGUUUCUGAUACAGAACAUAUGCCAUCCAGUAGUCAACACCUGCUCGCCCACAGAAAACCAUAUUUAAUAAUCUAGAGCUGUUGUGGUCUAUCCAAUGCAAUGGCCAGCUCUACAGAAAGGAGCGGAAAUAAAAUAACUAAAAUAAAGAAAGAAAGAGGAAGAAGGUUCAUGGACCGGAUUUUUGUUCUUGUGGCUCACUGCUGGGCCAUGGCCCACAGUUUGAGAACCAUUGUUUUAAAAUGUGCUGAUAUGGAGAUAAAUAAUGUGCCACCCUUUGGAACAACCAAGCCCAGCUAAAGACAUAUUGCUGCCUGAGUCAAAGGACAUACCAGGCCCUGCUCCUCUCUUUUCACUUUCUCAUGCCAAAAGGCAUUACAAUACAUCUGACAACAGGAUAGCAUUUUAUGCCACACCCAAGAGCAUAUGGCUUGUUUGGGAUACAGGGAUCUAUUAGUUGUGAGAGGUAAAUGGCUGCGGUUCUCUUCUUGCGGUUUUCCAGAGCUGCUAGUUGUGGUGGUUACUCCACUCUCCCUAAUGGUAGGGCCAGGUCAGCAUGCAGGCUCCAAUCUGAGGCUUACUGGGAAUAUUGCUAAAGUAUAAACAAUAUUGAGCUGGAAACUUGUAUGUUCAUUGGCAGUGGGAUACAUGGUAAAUUUAGUCCCCAGUCUUCCUUGUUGCCAAAGGAUGGUGAGAGCAGUGCCAUAUUUACCAUUGUGCUCAGGUGUGCUUAAACCUCUUCCUGCCUCAAUUUUUUAUGAUGGAUUUUGCUUAUGUGGUGCAAUUCUAAAUUUGAAGGUGUUAAGGAUAUACCCUUAACAGUGUAGGAUUCAUUUUUUCAAAAAAAAUUAUAGACCUCUUAAUAGUGUAGAAUUCUGGGAUACAUUUUUUCCAAGAGAUGUAGACAUCUUUAACAGCUUAUAAUUUGGGGGAGUGGGG
rnacentral:lncRNA from 11 species